UCCCACCAUAAUACCACCCGAACAUGCCCGAUCUCAUCUAAUCUCAGAAUCUAAGCAGGGUUGGGCCUGGUUAGUAUUUGAAUGGGAAACAAAAAGCCUUUUUAAGUGAAAG
rnacentral:rRNA from 1 species